AUCACUUCUUGGCCUUUUGGCUAAGAUCAAGUGUAG
rnacentral:snRNA from 1 species